GCCAGUGUGGUGUAAUGGUUUGAGUGUUGGACCUUGAUUCUGAAGACCAUGGUUCAAUUCCCAGCUCAGCUA